UGCUUUAUUUUUUUAUAGUUUACAUGCUUUUGCGAUGUAUAACAAAGUCAUUGGUUCAAAAACCUACAAAUAGAAUUUAGUGGUGCAAGCUAGUUUGCCUAGUACACAUGAAACUUCAAAAGGAAGGGGGAGAAUGUCAGGCCUCAAUAGGACAGAGGUAGACACGGGUUUCUCAAUUUCACAUUGGACAAGAAAGGGGUCGAUCUGAGGACAAGUGUGGUCUGUCAUGCAG
rnacentral:misc_RNA from 1 species